UUAUAAUUUUUUUUUUUUUGUAGGAGCUGUUUUGAACUUUCAGUCAUUCACCCUUACAGAGACUGGUGUUAGGCUCAGAGCCUGGGUCUCCAGCCCUAACAACCCGAGGUCGCCGCCCAUCCUCAGCACACCAGUUAACAGACAGCCUGAUGUGAAAAGCUGAAAGAGAAGACUUAUUCAUCGUGGCCACAAAGCAUGUGAUUGCAGAUCUUUGCAUUAAGUGGAGAAGCCUCCGGAACAGGAAGAGGGAGGCUCCGAACGCCCAUCACUAUCUCUGUGCCUUUGUGUCACAAACAAAGGACCCAGUGAUUCAUAAGGAAUGAAAAGACUACUUGCCAUGUCCCAGUGAAGAGAGGUGUGGCAGAACGGAAUGCCUGUGGCCUGGAAGAGGUGAAGGGUGGAAAGACGAAGAGUCCAACACCUCACAGUAGAGAGAAUCUGCAAUGGGCAGUUUGGUUAGCCACUCCAAGACACAGAUGUCUAAAAUUUCCCAUGAAAAAUACCUGCUGGGGCUGCAACUUUAUCCCUACAGCUGUUUGUGGAGGAGGAGACCUGU
rnacentral:lncRNA from 1 species